CCUACGGGAGGCAGCAGUGGGGAAUCUUGCGCAAUGGGCGAAAGCCUGACGCAGCAACGCCGCGUGCGGGAUGAAGGCCUUCGGGUUGUAAACCGCUUUCAGCAGGGAAGAAAUUGACGGUACCUGCAGAAGAAGCCCCGGCCAACUACGUGCCAGCAGCCGCGGUAACACGUAGGGGGCGAGCGUUGUCCGGAUUUAUUGGGCGUAAAGAGCUCGUAGGCGGUUCGGUAAGUCGGGUGUGAAACCUCCAGGCUCAACCUGGAGACGCCACCUGAAACUGCUGUGACUAGAGUCCGGUAGGGGAGUGUGGAACUCCUGGUGUAGCGGUGAAAUGCGCAGAUAUCAGGAAGAACACCAGCGGCGAAGGCGGCACUCUGGGCCGGUACUGACGCUGAGGAGCGAAAGCGUGGGUAGCAAACAGGAUUAGAUACCCUGGUAGUCCACGCCGUAAACGUUGGGCACUAGGUGUGGGUCUCAACCAACGAGAUCCGUGCCGCAGCUAACGCAUUAAGUGCCCCGCCUGGGGAGUACGGCCGCAAGGCUAAAACUACGAAAGUAGUGCGUGUGAGNGCGACGAGACGACGAGGAGGAGNG
rnacentral:rRNA from 1 species